rnacentral:rRNA from 1 species
AGCGAACGCUGGCGGCAGGCUUAACACAUGCAAGUCGAGCGGGCAUCCUGGGGGUGUCCGCGGCAGACGGGUGAGUAACGCGUGGGAACGUGCCCUUCGGUUCGGAAUAACUCAGGGAAACUUCGGCUAAUACCGGAUACGUGCGAGAGCAGAAGGGGUUAUCUGCCGAAGGAUCGGCCCGCGUCUGAUUAGCUAGUUGGUGAGGUUACGGCUCACCAAGGCGACGAUCAGUAGCUGGUCUGAGAGGAUGAUCAGCCACACUGGGACUGAGACACGGCCCAGACUCCUACGGGAGGCAGCAGUGGGGAAUAUUGGACAAUGGGGGCAACCCUGAUCCAGCCAUGCCGCGUGAGUGAUGACGGCCUUAGGGUUGUAAAGCUCUUUUCUCCGGGACGAUAAUGACGGUACCGGAGGAAUAAGCCCCGGCUAACUUCGUG